rnacentral:rRNA from 1 species
CUACGGGUUGCACCAGUGGGGAAUUUUGCGCAAUGGGGGAAACCCUGACGCAGCAAUACCGCGUGAGUGAAGAAGGCCUUUGGGUCGUAAAGCUCUUUUCUUGGGGAAGAUAGUGACGGUACCCAAGGAAUAAGCACCGGCUAACUCCGUGCCAGCAGCCGCGGUAAUACGGAGGGUGCAAGCGUUGUUCGGAUUUACUGGGCGUAAAGGGCACGUAGGCGGCACAGCAAGUUAAGGGUGAAAUCCCGGGGCUCAACUCCGGAACUGCUCUUAAAACUGCUGAGCUAGAGAUAGUCAGAGGCGGGUGGAAUUCCAGGUGUAGAGGUGAAAUUCGUAGAUAUCUGGAGGAACACCGGUGGCGAAGGCGGCCCGCUGGGGCUAUUCUGACGCUAAGGUGCGGAAGCGUGGGGAGCAAACGGGAUUAGAUACCCGAGUAGUC